CAGCCGCCACGGUAAUACGUAGGUGGCAAGCGUUGUCCGGAAUUAUUGGGCGUAAAGGGCUCGCAGGCGGUUUCUUAAGUCUGAUGUGAAAGCCCCCGGCUCAACCGGGAAGGGUCAUUGGAAACUGGGAAACUUGAGUGCAGAAGAGGAGAGUGGAAUUCCACGUGUAGCGGUGAAAUGCGUAGAGAUGUGGAGGAACACCAGUGGCGAAGGCGACUCUCUGGUCUGUAACUGACGCUGAGGAGCGAAAGCGUGGGGAGCGAACAGGAUUAGAUACCCCGGUAGUCCCUGUCUCUUAUAC
rnacentral:rRNA from 1 species